rnacentral:rRNA from 1 species
AUACGUAGGUGGCAAGCGUUGUCCGGAUUUAUUGGGCGUAAAGCGAGCGCAGGCGGUUUCUUAAGUCUGAUGUGAAAGCCCCCGGCUCAACCGGGGAGGGUCAUUGGAAACUGGGAGACUUGAGUGCAGAAGAGGAGAGUGGAAUUCCAUGUGUAGCGGUGACAUGCUUAGAUAUAACGAGGAACUCCGAUUGCGUAGGCAGCUUACUAAGCCAUAACUGACGCUCAAGCACGAAAGCGUGGGGAUCAAACAGGAUUAGAUACCCUGGUAGUCCACGCCGUAAACGAUGAGUGCUAAGUGUUGGAGGGUUUCCGCCCUUCAGUGCUGCAGCUAACGCAUUAAGCACUCCGCCUGGGGAGUACGACCGCAAGGUUGAA